UACAUUCAUUUUUAUCAAUUUUCCAUUUCCGCCCCCAAAUUUCAUUCUAAACAAACGGAAUAUCAUUCCACCAUACAAUCCAUAAUCACGAAAAUCAAAUACCAAAUCAAAAAAAUAAAUAAUUCACACCAUCAUUCACGUAAAAAUCACAAAAUUAUAAAGAAAGAGAUGAAAAUUGGACCUCAAAUGCUAUGUUAGACCACCAAAUUCCUUUAGCAGUUGCAAGAAUACAUAGAAGGAGCACCAAUCGGAACCAAAUUCACAAACCUCAAACCAAUGAACUCAAUAUGAAAUUGAUCUCGAUAUACAAUUCUUGUUUUUCGCCCCAAAACCAAAUCAAAUUUUAAGAAUAGAGAAAGCCCAUCCUGUUUUUUGUAUGUUGUGGAUUGAUUUUAGUCAUUUUCUGAGGGAGUAACCACUGGUGGAAUUGAUGGUAUUUUUCAGUGGCGGUUUGACUGGAGCAGUCAAUGAGGCAGUUGUUGUUACCUGACCGGAGCUCCAAUAAGCUCAGGGAGUGGCAGACAGGCCAGAGUCUAUCAAAUUUCUGGUGGGCAAUGUGGUUUUGGGUCGAACCGGCGAUGGGUUGGCCGUCAAAACACUGAACGACGACCAACCCUUUUUCUUUCUCAUUCAUCCCUUCACUAAUUUUCCCCCUUAUCUCCGAUCUUUCUAUAGUUUACUCUACCCCUUUUUACUCUGUGUGUGUGCGUGAAUAAAAAAAUGGAGAGCUCCUUUGUGGUGUGUUGUAUGUAGUGUGUAGUGUAUGAAUUGUAUUGUGAGUGUGGGUAUGUAUUCCAGUAGGUGUGUACGUAGUGAAUGUUGAGAAUUCUCGUGUAUGUGAGUAUAUCCAUUAGUGAGUGUAGAAAAAUGUGAGUGGGGUGGGUAAAGGUAUGUGGAUUUAAGGGUUGGGUAGGGUAGUAGUGGUUAUUUUUUGUUAGGGUGAG
rnacentral:lncRNA from 1 species